GGAGGAGUUGCCCUUAUUAACAUCUAUGCUUCUGUUCUUGGAAACACUUCUGAAAAUAUAUUGGUGUUUCCUCUGCUGAAUUUGAGAAGUUGAUCAAGGAUUCAAGAGCUUCUGUGUUUCAGAGACAUGACUUCAAGCAAGAUAAAAAUUGUAUCGAAAAUAAAUGUAUUUAGGUUUUAAUCAUUUAUUUGACCCUAAUUAAGAUUUUAAAGAUACAUUUGAAGUGUAUAUAUUGGGGUUGUAAUUUUGACUAAUGUUGAUAAACAUUUCUUUAUUUGUGUACAUGUGUGAGUAUCUAGCCAUGAAUACAUCCAAGUGCUAUUUAGUUUUGUUAUUCUUUAUUAUUUUGUAAUUUACUGCUAUUUAAAAUGUAUCAUUGGGGACAGUAUUGCAUACUCCAAUUUGUUAUUCAACAAUGAAUAGUCUUAUACCUGUAUUAUUUUUAAUUCAUAGGCAGAAUAGCUUUUUUGUGAUGGUAUUAAAUUUCUAUCAAUUUAAGAAUGAUUUUCAGAAAACCCAUGUAAUGUGCUUAAGUAUCAAUUUUCUUCUUGAACCAUACACAUAAGUAAAACUGUUUUUGCAAUAAAUUCUUUCCUGUU
rnacentral:misc_RNA from 1 species